CUCGGUGCGGAGAAGAUGUGCCCCUCCGAUCCCCAAGCCGUGACCCCCCUCACCCAGACCCGGCCAAUCCCUCGCCCGAGGCGAGCGGGAGGAUGCGGUUCUAGGACCCGGAGGCGCCGCCGAGCGCGCCGCCGCCUCGGCCUCGCCUCGGUGGCCUCCCGCUCCGGCAGGUGAAGCGGCGCCGGCCGCCCCCUCUGCGGCAGCUCGCCGCCCGGUCCCACGGACGGGGCCGCCCCGAUGGGACGCCGCGCUCCGGCCCCUGCGCGCCGCUGAGCCGAGCGCCCCCGCCGCCGAGACCCCCGCCGCCGCCGCCAGCCGCUGCCCCCUCGCCCCCGCCCGGGUCGGGAGCCUCGUCCCCGUCCCCCGGAAAGCUGGAUUUCCGAGGCUGGAGG
rnacentral:sRNA from 1 species